rnacentral:rRNA from 1 species
AACGAACGCUGGCGGCAUGCCUAACACAUGCAAGUCGAACGAGAUCUUCGGGUCUAGUGGCGCACGGGUGCGUAACGCGUGGGAAUCUGCCCUUUGGUUCGGAAUAACAGUUGGAAACGACUGCUAAUACCGGAUGAUGACGAAAGUCCAAAGAUUUAUCGCCAGAGGAUGAGCCCGCGUAGGAUUAGCUAGUUGGUGUGGUAAAGGCGCACCAAGGCGACGAUCCUUAGCUGGUCUGAGAGGAUGAUCAGCCACACUGGGACUGAGACACGGCCCAGACUCCUACGGGAGGCAGCAGCGGGGAAUAUUGGACAAUGGGCGAAAGCCUGAUCCAGCAAUGCCGCGUGAGUGAUGAAGGCCUUAGGGUUGUAAAGCUCUUUUACCCGGGAUGAGAAUGACAGUACCGGGAGAAUAAGCUCCGGCUAACUCCGUGCCAGCAGCCGCCGUAA